rnacentral:lncRNA from 1 species
GCCCCUGUGGAUGGAACAUCCUCCCCAAGUCCCUGCUCUAUGCUCCCCUCGAACCCUUGCUGUUCUCCCCACAGCAGCCCUGGCGCACUUUGUUAAGAAAAUCAACAGCCAUGGAGCAGGUUCUGCUGCACUGUCCUCCUCCCUGUCAAAUGGGCCCUGAGGUGCCACAAGAGUCACUGCCAUCAUGCUCACCGCAGUCAGCACACACACGGUCCCACCACACAGUGGACCCAGGGCUGAGGAAUCUCCCUCCUUCUGGGACAGCAGAGUCUCUGGCCAUGGACCGUCCUGUUGAUGGAGUAGAAUGGUGGGGAGAGCAGAGGGGAGCAAGGAUCCUCUCUCUUCACGGCACAGG